rnacentral:rRNA from 1 species
UACGGAGGAUGCGAGCGUUAUCUGGAUUUAUUGGGUUUAAAGGGUGCGUAGGCGGGCUGUUAAGUCAGCGGUAAAAGCCCGGGGCUCAACCCCGGCGAGCCGUUGAAACUGGCUGUCUUGAGAUGUCGAGAGGUAUGCGGAAUGCGCAGUGUAGCGGUGAAAUGCUUAGAUAUUGCGCAGAACUCCGAUUGCGAAGGCAGCAUACCGGCGGCGAUCUGACGCUGAGGCACGAAAGCGUGGGUAUCGAACAGG